rnacentral:rRNA from 1 species
UACGUAGGGGGGCAAGCGUUGUCCGGAAUCAUUGGGCGUAAAGCGCGUGUAGGCGGCUUGGUAAGUCCGCUCUGAAAGCCCGGGGCUCAACCCCGGGAGGCGGGUGGAUACUGUCAAGCUCGAGUCCGGAAGAGGCGAGUGGAAUUCCUGGUGUAGCGGUGAAAUGCGCAGGAUACUCAGGAGGAACACCAAUGGCGAAGGCACUCUACUGGGCCAUUACUGACACUGAGAGACGAAAGCUAGGGGAGCAAAUGGG